CCUACGGGAGGCAGCAGUGGGGAAUAUUGCACAAUGGGGGAAACCCUGAUGCAGCGACGCCGCGUGAGUGAAGAAGUAAUUCGUUAUGUAAAGCUCUAUCAGCAGGGAAGAAAAUGACGGUACCUGAGUAAGAAGACACGGCUAACUACGUUCCAGCAGCCGCGGUAAUACGGAGGAUGCGAGCGUUAUCCGGAUUUAUUGGGUUUAAGGUGUGUGCAGGCGGAAGAUCAAGUCAGCGGUAAAAUUUAGAGGCUCAACCUCUUCGAGCCGUUGAAACUGGUUGUCUUGAGUGAGCGAGAAGUAUGCGGAAUGCGUGGUGUAGCGGUGAAAUGCAUAGAUAUCACGCAGAACUCCGAUUGCGAAGGCAGCAUACCGGCGCUCAACUGACGCUCAUGCACGAAAGUGUGGGUAUCGAACAGGAUUAGAUACCCUUGUAGUC
rnacentral:rRNA from 1 species